rnacentral:rRNA from 1 species
ACGGAAGGCAGCAGUGGGGAAUAUUGCACAAUGGGCGAAAGCCUGAUGCAGCGACGCCGCGUGAGUGAAGAAGUAUCUCGGUAUGUAAAGCUCUAUCAGCAGGGAAGAAAAUGACGGUACCUGACUAAGAAGCCCCGGCUAACUACGUGCCAGCGGCCGCGGUAAUACGUAGGGGGCAAGCGUUAUCCGGAUUUACUGGGUGUAAAGGGAGCGUAGACGGUUUGGCAAGUCUGAAGUGAAAUGCGGGGGCUCAACUCCUGAACUGCUUUGGAAACUGUCGAACUAGAGUGCAGGAGAGGUAAGUGGAAUUCCUAGUGUAGCGGUGAAAUGCGUAGAUAUUAGGAGGAACACCAGUGGCGAAGGCGGCUUACUGGACUGUAACUGACGUUGAGGCUCGAAAGCGUGGGGAGCAAACAGGAUUAGAUACCCUGGUA